rnacentral:rRNA from 1 species
UGGGGAAUUUUCCGCAAUGGGCGAAAGCCUGACGGAGCACGCCGCGUGAGGGAUGAAGGCCUCUGGGCUGUAAACCUCUUUUAUCAMAGAAGAAGAUCUGACGGUACUUGAUGAAUAAGCCACGGCUAAUUCCGUG